CACUUUAAAGGACCCUUGUGGUUACAUUGGACCUACCCAGAUACUCCAGGAACAUCUUCCUAUUUAAGUUCUGGAGCCUGGAAGUCUGAGAUCAAGGUGUCUGUGGAGUUGGUUUCUUAUGAGGUCAACAGGGGAAGCUCCGUGACAGGCUUCGCUCCUUGGCUGUUUGUCUUUGCUGAGAAGUAUGGAGUGACACCGAGCUGGCUUCCUGCCACUACUUAAGAUCACGGGCAGAGUGUCAUGUGAGGUUGGAGCACAAGAGAACCAGUGUGACAUUGCCAGGAUAACAGAUCAAAGCUUUCCUCUCAGGGUGACCUGACAACAGUAGACCAGGACUUACUGGAGUUACCAAGAAACAACACACAGUCAUCACCCCUCUCUGUGUGCAAACAAUGAGAACAAGUCAACUGGUAGUUCUCAUUACCAUUUUAAGCUCACAAGGAAUAUAUGAACAUAAAUAAUUAUAAA